rnacentral:rRNA from 1 species
UUUAUGGAGAGUUUGAUCCUGGCUCAGGAUGAACGCUGGCGGCGUGCCUAAUACAUGCAAGUCGAGCGGACAGACGAGGUGCUUGCACCUCUGAAGUCAGCGGCGGACGGGUGAGUAACACGUGGGUAACCUACCUGUAAGACUGGGAUAACUUCGGGAAACCGGAGCUAAUACCGGAUAAUAUUUUCCACCUCAUGG